AGUGGGGUAGUUCAGUUGGGAGAGCGUCAGACUGAAGAUCUAAAGGUCGCGUGUUCCAUCUACCCCUCACCG